ensembl:lncRNA
GCAUAUUUCUAUUCUGAUUCAGAUGAGACCACCUUUUUACUGGAGGAAGCAAUAUGGUUUCUUAAGUUAAAACGCCUUGAUUUAUUACAAACACGCAGGUUUUUGCUUCACAGAACAUUAAUUGAUGGAUUGGAGUCAUGUGGAUUACUUUUGGAUUUUGUUCGAUCAAAAAAUACAAAACAGUUUGUUGAUAUUAAGUUUUAAUGGAAAUCAGUUCUUGACUGUCUUUAAGCAUUAAAAUGAGUAAACAAUCCUUAACUGAAAUUGAUACAUUAAAUUAAACAUGGCUCCAGGGGGUUAAUAAAGGCCUCCUGAAGCAAAUCUAUGUGUAUUUGGAAAAGAAAUAUCCAUAUUUAAAACUUUAUGAACCAUAAUCUUUAGCUUCCACUGACGUACACCUGUCCAUGAGAGAGUGGCGUUCCAGCAAUGACGUAGGCAGUGUAAGCUCCAGUGAGAGGUGACGAACAGGGACAAGCAGAGGACAGAGCAAAACAAAAGGACACGACUUAGAAGCACAAAACAAGGAUUUGUAAAGAAAUGUCAGGAUAUAAGCCAAGAAAAGAUAGUUUUUGCUUUGCUUCUGUAAACAAAACUUGGUUCUUGUGAGACUAACAUUCUCACCAAAGCAUAUGCUACAUGCAUCAUUGGCUGUAACACCCAUCUCUUGUGAACACAUGUACUAGUUAGCAGAAGCUAGAGAUCACAUUUUAUAAAGUUUAAACUUUCUCAAAUACACUGAUUCACUUCAAAAGCCCUUUAACCCCCCAGAACUGUGUGGAGCACUUAUGGACUUCAGUUGAUUAUCACCCAUUCCCUGCUAUAUAAAGCUGGGAACAGCCAGGACAUUUUUAAAAUAAAAUGAAUUGUAUUCACAUGAAAGUCAUACACCUGUCUUGAGGGUAAGUAAAUUAUGGGUUAGUUUGUUUUUGAACUACCAUCCCUUUGUUUCAAUUUGAGUUUUGUAGUCAAAGAUUUUUUUUUUUUUUAACUACCAGUCUACUGCACAAAAAUCCUUACAGUACAACACAAGUGAGAUGCAUGCCACUUUCCUGAAUUAAUGCAUGAGACCAGGAACCCAACUGAAGGUGAAAAACUCCAAAAGUGGGAAAUGAUUCAUAGCUGAAAACUGGAAGUGCUUUUUAACAUACAUAUUGACCCAAGUACACAUGUACCAGCAGGUCCCCACCCUGGUCCAGAAGAUGGUCAAGGCAUAUUGGGAAACAAAUUUAAAAACUAAAUUCUACUUUAUGCAAGGAGAAAUGAGACUUUAAAGUUACCAACAGAAAGUACACAAUGUACACAUUAUCUGCGGUGCUUCAGGGAAGUGAGUGUUCAAGUAGAACAUUGAGGCAGAGACUCUGGCAGAACAACUUACAGCAUCAUGGGCAAUGGAUUCCACUUAACUUGUUAAACUGCACUUAAACCAAGUUUACAGUAGGUCUGUCUUUAAAAGGUUAAGUUAACUUCCCCACUGAGAAAAGGGAGCCUUUCUAGAAAGAAUGGGUACAGUAGGACUACUGUUCCACUUUCCCCACAUUAUAGCACAUUCAAAUUGGUUAAACUAGACAAGAAAACCAGAAACAAGAAUAUUUUGCCCCAUUUAUUGCAAACCAGGUAGAGGUCCCAGAAUUACUGAAAACCAGCUAAAGUCUUCUGUCGCCCUUGAACCAUUACAGGACCAAGUGAGGCCUUGCCUUCCCACUGAACACCUGGAAGUAAAUACCAAAGUUAAGUAGAGCACUUGAUGUGUCAGAAUCAAGCUUAAAAGUAGCUACCUACCCACAAUAGGAUCAGCACUUCCACCAUCAGGACCACAUGUUGAGUCACAGCAACCACAAGCCUGGUGGUUCCCAUCAGCAGCAAACCACCUGCAACAAGAAAAAUCAGAUAUGGCACCUUCACCGUUUUCUUAAGCAGCAUUAACAUACCCAUUGGAGAAGGAACAGGAUUUGUGGAGCGCAUCACUGGGUGCAGAAGCAAGAGUGGCCUUCACAGUACAUGUUAUGUAGAUCUGCAAGAGACACCACAGGUGAGAGGUCACGAUUAAAGCAGAUGGGAAGAGAAGUCAAAUUCACUCAACAUAGUACGUACAGAAGGAUUGG